GUUGAAACGCCGAUUCCCGUACGAUCAUCGAAGUUAAGCAACGUCGAGCUUGGUCAGUAUCUAGAUGGGUGACCGCCUGGGAACACCAGGUGCUGUAA